GACGAACCGUGCGAACGUUAUUCGGAAUCACGUGGCUUAAGCGCGAUGUAUGGCGGCCCGGCACGUUCAGUCGCUGAAAUCCCCCGGCUCAACCGGGGAAGUGGCGUUGAUGACGACCGGCUGGAGGGGGGUAGGGGGGACGGGAAUCUCAGCGGUGGAGCGGUGGAAAUGCGUUGAGAAUCGUGAGGAACGCCCGCGGCGAAAGCGCGUCCCUGGACCCCACCUGACGCUGAGAACGCGAAAGCCAGGGAGCGAACGG
rnacentral:rRNA from 1 species